rnacentral:rRNA from 1 species
CCCUUAGAUGUUCUGGGCCGCACGCGCGCUACACUGAUGCAUUCAACGAGCCUAUCCUUGACCGACAGGUCCGGGUAAUCUUUGAAUCUGCAUCGUGACGGGGAUAGAUUAUUGCAAUUAUUAAUCUUCAACGAGGAAUGCCUAGUAGGCGCAAGUCAUCAGCUUGCGUCGAUUACGUCCCUGCCCUUUGUACACACCGCCCGUCGCUCCUACCGAUUGAUUGAUCCGGUGAAUUACAUAGAAUUUUGCGUUUUACAUGACGGAAGACGAAGUGUUUUAAACCUUAUCAUUUAGAGGAAGGAGAAGUCGUAACA